AAGUUCGGAUGCUUUGCUAGCCACAGCAGAGAGCUGAAACAGAUGCCUGGAGGGCAGGCCAGGAGCACGCACGCCUGACCCACCCUCUCCAGCGUCCCGUCCUCGCUCCCCAGCCCCACUGCCUGAACGUGGCGUUGCCCCCGGAGAAGCUGGCUAAACAAUUUCAGGGCAGGGCAUUGCUGGAGGCUGGCCACGUGCUUGGAAGAAGAAACCAGCAGGAUUCAAAUCAGAGACAAUUAAAACGGAUUAGUUCUAUUGCAACCAAUCCCAGAUGGAACACUGCUAUACAUGUCGAGUUUACUGAUGUCUCAGAUAUAAGGUUUUCCUCUCUUACUCUUCUAAAUGCACAAGGAAUUUAUUUUUAGAAAGAAGGCAAUAUAUUUUCAUAAAAAAUGAACUAUAAUAAGGUGGACAAAUAUUUCCAAAUGUUAAAUACUAAGCCUAAGAUAUUUAAAAUCAUUCUGUCGUAUAUUAGUGGAUGAUUUUUAGGAAUCUAAGAUGCUAAGGUUUAUAUUUUUUAAUUUCCUGUAACUUAUCAUCAUUUCAGUAAUUUACAAAAUUUUAUACCACAGAACUAGCAGAAAUCAAUCAUAAAAAUAAUUUCUCCUGGUUCUGAAAUAGUAUCCCGGCAGAUGUGAGGUUGCAGAGGUGCUGUAUUUUGAAUUACAUAUUAGACAGGAAUCCUCUUUCUUAGCUGUAAAUCAUUUCAACAUCGUUGUAAUACAGGGAAAACAAAGGUAACAUGUUGUCUAUAUCGGUAGCAUCCAUAUAAUUGAUUAUUUUAAAAUCUGAGCUAAGUAGGAGAUAAAGGUUGUAACGUAAAAAGCACACCAAAUUCAAAGCUAAUACAUAAGGCUGGUAAUAGCAAAAAGCAACUCACAUGAAAGAAUGACAGAAGAGGGGAAAAAACUGACUUCUCAAAAAAAGCACAAAGAAAGAAAGAAAUUCCCUUGGCUCUAGGACAAAAUAAGUUCCCCUUGAUAAUUUAUAAAAAAUGUGACUCUCAAGUAGGUUUGGCUGCUAUUCACAAUUUACCCCCUUCCCCAAAAAUAAUGUUAGCUGAUAAUUAAAUUUAAAUCUGUCUUGUGUUGGAAAUACAAAAUGCUGCAAAAGACCACCACUGUUCUGCAGACUGGAAGAAUCCACUUUAAAUUACCUUUCACGAAAGAUGAGUUUGCAAUGGAAAGUAUGCAGCACUUAUAGAAACAAAUCAAGUUAGUAAAAGCGAAAGAGAAGAUGCCACCAGUGGCUGCUGAAAUAAUAUUAAUAAAAAUAUAAAGUGAGUAUUUUUAGAAAGCUUCAUGAAACAGAGACGAUAUUCAAAGUAUAAUGAGGUAAGACACCAUAGAACUGUAUUCGAUAAGUAUACAGAUCACCCUUGACAUAACUAACCCUAUUUUAGGAAAAGACUGUAUUUGGGCCAGGUGCUGUGGCUCCCACCUGGGAGGCUGAGGUGGGUAGAUCUCGAGGUCGGGAGUUGGAGACCAGGCUGGCCAGCACGGUGAAACCCCGUAUCUACUAAAAAUACAAAAAUUAGCUGGUUAUGGUGAUGCAUGCCUGUAGUACCAGCUACUCGGGAGGCUGAGGCAGGAGAAUCGCUUGAACCUGGGAAGCAGAGAUUGCGGUGAGCUGAGAUCACACCACUGUACCCCAGCCUGGGUGACAGAGUGAGACUCCAUAUUAAAAACAACAACAGCAACUUUAUUUUAUAUUUCACAGGGUAGUCUGCCAACAAGGAUAAGAUGUUUUGUAUAAUAAACGCAUAAAAAAAAUAAAGACUGCAUCCAACCAGCUAAGGACACAAACAAGCACCCUCUUGCAUUCUCACCCCAGGCCUGACUAUCAAAGACUAGGUCUUCUGCCACCCCGAAGGACUGUGUGAACUGACACUGUCUUGCAGUCGCUUCUGAUAAAAGCUUGGCAUCUGCCACUGAGGGCCCUGCCAUCUCACGGACUUCCUUGCAAGACCAAAGGACCACCCAGCAGACCAGGAAAAUGUUUUUCUUUGCUUCCCCUGGACUGAUUGGUUAACCCAUUCUCCUAUCUAGUUUUCCUCUUGAUGCUAAACACUACUUUAUUUGUUGUAAGAUAUUAACCCAUACCAUUGACAUAUUAAGUCCAGGAUUAUGUUUGCUUCGCUUAUUGACUGACCCAUGGAGUGGCUUGAGCCUGUGCACUCACGGCUCUGACUAGCAAGCAACUGGGAAAUGGUAAGAAUUCCCUCCUCAGGAACUCCAUGGAGUACAUGGCUUUUGUGACUGAACUAGCAUCAGUAAAAGCCUGACAUGGUAGAAAGAGACAAACGUGUGGACCUGGUUGUUUCUCACCUGGCUCUGUUCAUGACAGCAAGAAACAAUAAAACUCAUAUAUGAGAAAAUAAAAUGGUAAAAGCCCUUCUAAAAUAGAAAAAUAUAACAAUUGGCUAAAGAAAUGCUAUAGAUUAAUGAAACAACAGAUUGAUUAAAAAUGAAUGAGAUAGAUUAUAUCUGAGGGUUCAGCAUAGAAAGAUAAUUAUGUGAAAAAUAUGGAUGAAGCAUGAUGGGAAGUAGAGAAUAAAGUCUAAUAUAAAUUAGAGGAAGCAUUUGAAGAGAUAUCGGCUUGGAAUGUUUGAAAACUGUAACACACAUGUGCACACACGUGCACACACACAUGCAUGCACACACACACACACACACACUGAUAGAUCUAGGAAGAUAAAAAAUCCGAAGUGAGAUCAAAGAAAAGAAAUCAGCCCUUAGACGCAUCGUACUAAAGAUGCAGAACAUGAAACACCAAGGAAAGAUCUGCGAUAAAUCAGAGAGAACCAUUCCCAAAACAAAACGACACGUAGGCAAACAGCUUAUUUCUCAGCUGCAAAAGUUGAACUGCUGAGUUAGCAGCAGGAUGUCUUCAACUGCUUACACAAAAGUAAUGAUCAACUUCUUAUUAAACAGCCAGAUGAACUAUCUUUCAACAUCAAGGAAAACUUAAAAACAUAUUAAGAGAAGGCCAGAACAUUUACAAAAGGAACUUAUACAUUAUAAGUUUCAGGAAGAAAACAUCAGCUGGUAUGAAAGAAAGGUGGAAAAGGAAAUAAAGAAUAGUAAAAAAAAAAAGAUAAAUGUGUGGGUAAACCCAGACAAACAUUGAUUGUAUCCAGUAAUUGUGAUAAUGGGUAGCUGUAUUUUUACCAUUAGAAACCUAAAGUAUUAAAUAC
ensembl:lncRNA